rnacentral:rRNA from 1 species
UCCUCCCUCUUUCUUCGUGCCUAAUACAUGCAAGUCGAGCGGACUUUCAAGAAGCUUGCUUUUUGAAAGUUAGCGGCGGACGGGUGAGUAACACGUGGGCAACCUGCCUGCAAGACGGGGAUAACUCCGGGAAACCGGGGCUAAUACCGGAUAAUAUCUUCCUUCGCAUGAAGGAAGGUUGAAAGGCGGCGCAAGCUGCCGCUUGCAGAUGGGCCCGCGGCGCAUUAGCUAGUUGGUGAGGUAACGGCUCACCAAGGCGACGAUGCGUAGCCGACCUGAGAGGGUGAUCGGCCACACUGGGACUGAGACACGGCCCAGACUCCUACGGGAGGCAGCAGUAGGGAAGCUUCCGCAAUGGACGAAAGUCUGACGGAGCAACGCCGCGUGAGCGAAGAAGGGCUUCGGAUCGUAAAGCUCUGUUGUCAGGGAAGAACAAGUACCGUUCGAACAGGGCGGUACCUUGACGGUACCUGACCAGAAAGCCACGGCUAACUACGUG